UCCCUUAGAUGUCCUGGGCCGCACGCGCGUUACACUGAUGCACUCAACGAGCAUAUAACCUUGGCCGAGAGGCCUGGGUAAUCUUGUUAACAUGCAUCGUGAUAGGGAUAGAUUAUUGCAAUUAUUAAUCUUGAACGAGGAAUUCCUAGUAAUCGCAGAUCAUCAAUCUGCAAUGAUUACGUCCCUGCCCUUUGUACACACCGCCCGUCGCACCUACCGAUUGAAUGGUCCGGUGAGGACUCGGGAUUGUGGUUUGGCUCCUUCAUUGGGGCCUGACUGUGAGAACUUGUCCAAACCUUAUCAUUUAGAGGAAGGUGAAGUCGUAACA
rnacentral:rRNA from 1 species